CAAACCCACAUCUCUUGUGUCUCUGGCACUGAAAGGCCUCCAGACCAAUCCACCAUAGAGAUGAAUGAGUCUCAGCCUCUCCAGGUUUUGCUGCAGAGCCUUCAAGGACGGCACAGCCAAAAAUAAUCGGGCCCGACCUACCUCCCGAAAGUGGGGCAGCCCCGCCCAGACACCUGGUACGACGGAGGUAAUUAGUGCAUGUGGCAAAUGAGGGUAAUUAGGUCUGUGGGAACCAAACCACGGAUCCAGGUUUGGAGUUUGGAG